CCAUCCAUGGAAUGCUAAUCACUUGAAGUACUAUUACAAGUAAACUCACAUUGUACAAGUGUUAAGCUUCAACCGUUCGGCAUCCUAUGUAACGAAGACUAUUUGGCAUGAAUUCAAUAAAAAGGUAAUUUAGACAACUUGGUCCUAAUCCUUUUACAUUCCUAGCAAUGAAACACUCGGGUUCAAAGCUUUAACAUGAAUGCUUCCAACAUGAAACAAAGUCUAUGUCAACAAGACUAUACAAGUAAACGAACAGCUUCACAGUAUAUUCGUUCAAUCAUACAUUCUAACACAUUCAUACAUAAGCCAACUGUGCUUUGAAAGGGUACAACAUACUUUGUGUCAUUCGACACUUGCUACAAUGUGCCUCAACACCUUGCUCUUAUUCUCACUAACCAGGUGAUGAAAUGUGAAGAAGGAACUCAUCUUCAUGCUACAAACCAGGUGAUGACAUGUACAACCUAUACUAUCCUUCAUGCCACUAAGCAGGUGAUGAAAUGUACAACCCGUACUCUCCUUCAUGCCACCAACCAGGUGAUGAAAUGUACAGCCCAUACUCAAAUAUCAUUUGGCCACUUGACAUUCAUGCCACCAACCAAGUGAUGAAAUGUAAAACCCGUACUCUCCUUCAUGUCACCAACCAGGUGAUGAAAUGUACAACCUGUACUCUAAUAUCAUUUGGCAACUUGCCACUCAUGCCACCAAUGAGGUGAAAAAGGAACUCAUCUUCAUGCCACCAACCAGGUGAUGAAAUGUACACCCCGUACUCUAAUAUCAUUUGGCAACUUGCCAUUCAUGCCACCAACCAGGUGAAGAAGGAACUCAUCCUCGUGCCACCAGGUGAUGAAAUGUGAUGAAAUGUGAUGAAGGAACUCACAUUCGUACCACCAACCAAGUGACAAAAGCAACUCACCAUUCAUUCCACCUACCAGAAGACGAGUGGUAUAACUUGUACAUGUGAACUCCUAGCAUUCACAAAUAAUCAAAAACCCUUAAGCUUAACAACUAAACUAAGAGAGCACUUAUGCCCAAUAAGAGUUACAGUCACCAACAAAGUCUUAUUGCAAGCCAACAACAACUUCAGUGCAUGGCAUACGAAGAUCAAGUUAUUCAGCCCUUUUGAUCAAGACAGUGUGAAGCAAAACCAAUUUAUGGUACCAAUAAGAGUUUCAUCAAACGAGUUUAACCACAAUUCUCAAAAGCUUCACACACUCUUGAUCAAGACAGUGUGAAACAAAACCAAUUUAUGGUGCCAACAAAAGCUUCAUCAAUGGAGGGCAACCAAAAUUCUCAAAGCUUCACACACUCUUGAUCAAGACAGUGUGAAGCAAAACCAAUUUAUAGUGCCAAAAAGAGCUUCAUCAAUGGAGGGCAACCACAAUUCUCAAAAGCUUCACACAUUCUCUAUCAAGACAGUGUGAAGCCAAACCAAUUUAUGGUGCCAACAAGAGCUUCAUCAAUGGAGGGCAACCAAAAUUCUCAAAAGCUUCACACACUCUUGAUCAAGACAAUGUAAAGCAAAACUAAUUUAUGGUGCCAACAAGAUCUUCAUCAAUGGAGGGCAACCAUAAUUCUAAAAAACUUCACACACUCUUGAUCAAGACAGUGUGAAGCAAAACCAAUUUAUGGUGCCAACAAGACCUUCAUCAAUGGAGGGCAACCACAAUUCUCAAAAGCUUUACACACUCUUGAUCAAGACAGUGUGAAGCAAAACCAAUUUAUGGUGCCAAUAAGAGCUUCAUCAAUGAAGGGCAACUACAACUCGUAGAAAGCUUCACACACUCUUGAUCAAGACAGUGUGAGGCAAAACUAAUUUAUGGUGCCAACAAGAUAUUCAUCAAUGGAGGGCAACCACAAUUCUCAAAAACUUCACACACUCUUG
rnacentral:lncRNA from 1 species